rnacentral:lncRNA from 1 species
UCUCCUAAAGCCAACCACAGAGCGUAUUUUCAACCCACCAUACUUUUUACCCAAGGACCUUCCCCUUCCAAUAAAAUUCUUAAAGGUUUCUAACUAGCCAAUCCACCUCUUCUUCCAUAAAAUGAUCGCUGAUCAGAAAUCUCUGCCAUUCUCACUCACUUUAAUGUCAUCAACUCUUCCCCCACAAGCAAUAUGUCCAAAGAGUUUUGUUCCAC